GUAUCUACCCCUUGUACUACACCUGUAUCUACCUCUUGUGCUACACCUGUAUCUACCUCUUGUGCUACACCUGGUAAGUUAAACAACUAUUAGUUUUUAAUGUGCAAACUUUAUAAUAUGUUUAACUUUAGUUCCUUAGUCAUCUUUUGCAACUAGUAA
rnacentral:lncRNA from 1 species